rnacentral:rRNA from 1 species
GAUGAACGCUGGCGGCGUGCCUAAUACAUGCCAGUCGAGCGAACGGACGAGAAGCUUUCUUUUCUGAUGUUAGCGGCGGACGGGUGAGUAACACGUGGAUAACCUACCUAUAAGACUGGGAUAACUUCGGGAAACCGGAGCUAAUACCGGAUAAUAUUUUGAACCGCAUGGUUCAAAAGUGAAAGACGUUCUUGCUGUCACUUAUAGAUGGAUCCGCGCUGCAUUAGCUAGUUGGUAAGGUAACGGCUUACCAAGGCAACGAUGCAUAGCCGACCUGAGAGGGUGAUCGGCCACACUGGAACUGAGACACGGUCCAGACUCCUACGGGAGGCAGCAGUAGGGAAUAUUCCGCAAUGGGCGAAAGCCUGACGGAGCAACGCCGCGUGAGUGAUGAAGGUCUUCGGAUCGUAAAACUCUGUUAUUAGGGAAGAACAUAUGUGUAAGUAACUGUGCACAUCUUGACGGUACCUAAUCAGAAAGCCACGGCUAACUACGUG